AUUUUAUUCAGAGUCUAACUUGCAUUUUUCCCCGCGGGGUACAAUACUAUUAAUUAGAAAUUUUUAUUAAUUUAUUAGUUUAUUUAAUAAUUUAUUUUAUUCUCAAAACUACACUAUUUUAUAAAAUAUAUGGUAUUAAUUAAUGAUAUUAUAUGGUUUAUGCAUGUUGGGUAUCAAGGUUGAGUUGGACUUCCCUAAUUGUGAAUUUCAG
rnacentral:misc_RNA from 1 species